rnacentral:lncRNA from 1 species
UAUGCAAGUGGGGUAUAGUUUUGUUCACUUCACCAUGUGUAACACACUGAUACAGAUAGAAUUGAAAAUAAAUACACUAUUCAAAAAUUAUAAAUUAUAACAUUUUAAGUGAUUCAUCCUGCUAGGAAAUGAUCAACGGCAGGUGCUCCCAGCUGGGCUGUGGCCCCGUAAGCUGGUUUUGUUUGUUGAAAAGACAAUGAAAGGAUCAAGAUGCCCAAG